rnacentral:tRNA from 2 species
GCGGGAAUAGCUCAGUGGUAGAGCCUCACGUUGCCAACGUGAUUGUCGCGGGUUCAAGUCCCGUUUCCCGCUCCA